rnacentral:lncRNA from 1 species
AUUCCACACAAGUUAUCAUCAGUAUGGUGCAUCUGUUGCAACAUGUGUCAUAUGUUGAAGGAGACAAUUGGUUUUCAUGCCUCAGUUUUUGGAUGGAGGGGUUUCUAUGGGGAUACUAUUCCUCAUCUCUUAUUCAUCUUCUCUCAUUUUUUCCUAGAAAAAAAAAAAGUGACUUUCCAUCUGAAAGAUCAAAUAAGGCUCUGGAUAAUUGCAACGAUGUUGGAGAAAACCUUGACAGAGCAAGUGCUGUGUAGCCAAUCUCCAUUGCAGAGAGGCUCCACUGCAGGGACCCAGAAUUCUUAAGCUACCAACCUUGAGAUGGCAACUGUUUUCAUUUUUGUACCCAACAGAGCAUAGCCUCACAUUCAUCCUUCUCUUCUGGGAUGAGUGUGGAAUGCACAAGUCCUGAAAUGUCUUCUCUUAGAAGACAUUCUAAGAAUUCCAUUAGAUAAGCAUGAACUGGGCACCUCUACGUGCCAGGCAUUCGACAGGGAGAGGAGACCGAGAUGGGUAACAUUCAGUUUCGUGUGCAUGGCACUUUUAGUUGGUGCAAAUGAAAGAUGAGACCCCUGUAAAUAAAUAGAAGGCAGAUUUUAGCUGAUCUGGCUUUAAAUGAGUUUCGG